rnacentral:rRNA from 1 species
AGGGUUUGAUCCUGGCUCAGGAUGAACGCUAGCGGCAGGCUUAAUACAUGCAAGUCGAGGGGCAGCAGGGAUAGCAAUAUUCGCUGGCGACCGGCGCACGGGUGCGUAACACGUAUACAAUCUGCCUUUUACUGGGGGAUAGCCUUUCGAAAGAGAGAUUAAUACCCCAUAAUAGAUUGCUCGGCAUCGAGUGAUUUUGAAAGCUCCGGCGGUAAGAGAUGAGUAUGCGUCUGAUUAGCUAGUAGGUGAGGUAACGGCUCACCUAGGCCACGAUCAGUAGGGGAUCUGAGAGGACUAACCCCCACACGGAUACUGAGACACGGAUCCGACUCCUACGGGAGGCAGCAGUAAGGAAUAUUGGACAAUGCCCGCAAGGGUGAUCCAGCCAUGCCGCGUGCAGGAAGACGGCCCUAUGGGUUGUAAACUGCUUUUAUACAAGAGAAAACCUCCCUACGUGUAGGGAGCUGAUAGUAUUGUAGGAAUAAGCAUCGGCUAACUUCGUGCCAGCAGCCGCGGUAAGACGAAGGAUGCAAGCGUUAUCCGGAUUCAUUGGGUUUAAAGGGAGCGUA